rnacentral:rRNA from 2 species
CGGACGGGUGAGGAAUACAUCGGAAUCUACUUUUUCGUGGGGGAUAACGUAGGGAAACUUACGCUAAUACCGCAUACGACCUACGGGUGAAAGCAGGGGAUCUUCGGACCUUGCGCGAUUGAAUGAGCCGAUGUCGGAUUAGCUAGUUGGCGGGGUAAAGGCCCACCAAGGCGACGAUCCGUAGCUGGUCUGAGAGGAUGAUCAGCCACACUGGAACUGAGACACGGUCCAGACUCCUACGGGAGGCAGCAGUGGGGAAUAUUGGACAAUGGGCGCAAGCCUGAUCCAGCCAUACCGCGUGGGUGAAGAAGGCCUUCGGGUUGUAAAGCCCUUUUGUUGGGAAAGAAAUCCAGCUGGUUAAUACCCGGUUGGGAUGACGGUACCCAAAGAAUAAGCACCGGCUAACUUCGUGCCAGCAGCCGCGGUAAUACGAAGGGUGCAAGCGUUACUCGGAAUUACUGGGCGUAAAGCGUGCGUAGGUGGUCGUUUAAGUCCGUUGU